rnacentral:lncRNA from 1 species
AUUGAAGUUUAAAAGGGUGUUUUUCAUAAUGAAUAUAGCUGGGUGGUUUAUAGUAUUUGGGUGGCUCUUUGUGAGGCUGUUUGGCAGAAGGUUUGCAUUCAGCAGCUGCAGUUGUAGUACAGGGUUGAGGAGUGGUGGUUAUAGGUGAUGCGGUAAUGGUUUUGGGAGGCUGCACUGGGUAUUGUGGAUAAAACUGCUGUAAAUAAAGAGGAUAAUUGGGGUAAUGGCUAUACUGAGGGAAUAGACUUCCAGGGUUGGGGGUUGCGGUUUCUGAGGUUUCUGGGCGAACCUGGUGGGGGAGGUGUGGGGAUGGCUGAUGCUGGUUUCUCUGUGGGCUUUGGUCUGACUAGAUAAUGGUCAUCAGGGUAGUAAUACAGCCGAAAAUAUCUGGCGGUCCUUCGGAGGUUGAGGCUUCUUAGGUGGUGCUUGGGCAACUGAUGUGGUGGUGGGAACUGAUUUCUCAUUGGGCUUUGGUUUGCCAUGAUGAGGGUAGUGAUCUGGCCAAAUCAUAUGGGGGUACUUUGGAAAUUGAGGCUUCUGGUUUGGUGCUUGGGCAUCUGAUGGAGGUUUCUCUGCUGGCUUAGAUGUGGGAUAUGGCCACAUCAUAUGGGGGUGCUUUGGAAAUUGAGGUUUCUGGUUUGGUGCUUGGGCAUCUGCAGAAGGUUCUUCUGCUGGUUCAGCUGUGGGAUAACCCUUGCCAGGAUAAUGGGAAUGAGAGUAGGGAUAUGGCCACAUCAUAUGGGGGUGCUUUGGAAAUUGAGGUUUCUGGUGUGGUGCUUGGUCAUCUGUAGAAGUUUCCUCUGAUGGCUCAGCUGUGGGAUAACCCUUGCCAGUAUAAUGGUAACGAGGGUAGUAGUAAGGCCAAAACUCUUGUGGAAUCUUGUGGAGUGCUGUAGGUAGUUCUGGCAUAGUUAUUGGAGUAAAUUUAUCAGGAUAAAGGGGAGACAGCAGAAUCUGCUGAUAUGAAGGAGAAUGAGGUCUUAGGAAGGUUUCGUUUGCAGUUGUAGAGGUCAUAGGACAAGAAAUGACUGCACCAUUUCCCUGCAAUUGCAUCUGCAUUACAUAACUCCCGCCCUGAAAGACAACAUGAACAUUCAGGUUGGUCUUCCUUACUCUGUGCUCAUAAGUGCACUG